rnacentral:lncRNA from 1 species
AGCUUUGAGCACAAUUGAGAACUUAAUGUGUUAAUACUUUCACCAGGGCUUGAUUCCAGCGGAUGAAAACCCCAUAAGAUGACAGUAAACCCAGAAGGAUAGCCCGAACUUCCUGUUCUUUGUUGACAGAAUUUGGGUGUGCAACCUGCAAAGUUUGACAAAUUUUGCAAAGAAACAGAUGUAAAAGGCCAGUUCCGAGAUCCAAAUGGAGGUGCCGCAGCACAGUUGUGUUGGUGGAACUACCACUGGGCCACUGCCAGUUGCAUCUGGGCAGGAAGGAAAUGCAAAUUCAAAGGAAAAAUUAGGCCAUUUUAGAGCAAAGCGAUUUCCAGCAAAGGCGCAGUGCUAACACUCAAGGAUAAAGAAGAUAAGAAAACUGAGGCAGAGAAAUUAAGCAACUGCCUACGGCGUCCCAGCUACUCAGCGGAAUCUCUGAGAUUCAAACCCAGGUGUCUGGCUCCAGAGCUCACACCGUACAACUACUCACACAACCAUGCAGUAUGGAGGUCAAAGGAAAUAAAGAAAGAAGCAAAAAAGAAGACUCUAAACCCACAUUGAGACCCUUUUCAAAACAGUCACAUAGAACCUUAAGAUGCUGCGGUUCAGAGGAGAGGACUCCUCUGUAGCAAAGACUCAGUUAGCACUGGCUGCUGUAAGGUCCAAGAAGACAACUUCUGUGAAAGCACUUGCCGGACUGCAAAGUGCUCUGUAACAUUAGAGGCAAUUGAAACCAGGGUGACUCAAGGGUCCUAAGGAUUUAUGAGCUUGUUUUGCAGAAGAAAAAGAAUGCCUUCAAGGAAGUAAUGAUCACCAGAUAACCAAGUCCCCAGCUGUUGUUGACACAGAAGUCAGAUUGCCCAAGGGCUUAAUCUGGAGUGAAAGAAACACAGAUUAGCCCUUUGUUUCUCUGAAAGUCCUCCUGCCGAGCCCCUUAGCUCUAUAAAACUCCCUGCUUUCUUCUCUUAUUAAGGCUGAUUUGGAAGAACUUAUCCUCCUGCCUUCUCAUUUUGGCCAAUUCAAAUAAAUCUUUCUCCAUCUCCAAGCGCCAAUGUCUCAGUGAUUGGCUUACUGUGCCUUAGGUGCACAAACCUGAGGUUAAGAGGUUCAGUUUCAUAAUGACAAGGUGACUUUAGUGAGUGAUCACUAGCCUUAAAAAGGACUUUAAAAUUUGUAGCUCCAUAUAGGAGACAUGGAUAUAGUAUUUAAUUUUUAAGAUGGGGGGAGGGGGAUUAAAAUCCCAGAAUGUAUUUAUAAUUAUCUAGAAAAAUAAUCAUCAAAAAAAAGGAUAAUUUGGCGCCAGCCUGGUGGCACAGCAGUUAAGUUCGCACGUUCCACUUCAGCAGCCCAGGGUUCACAGGUUCAGAUCCUGGGUGCGGACACGGUACCACUUGGCAAGCCAUGCUAUGGUAGGCAUCCCACAUAUAAAGUGGAGGAAGAUGGGCACAGAUGUCAGCUCAGGGCCAGUCUUCCUCAGCAAAAAGAGGAGGAUUGGCAGCAGAUGUUAGCUCAGGGCUAAUUGUCUUUAAAAAAAA